rnacentral:rRNA from 1 species
UAGGGAAUCUUCCGCAAUGGACGAAAGUCUGACGGAGCAACGCCGCGUGAGUGAAGAAGGAUUUCGGUUCGUAAAACUCUGUUGUUAGGGAAGAAAAAAUGUAUAGUAACUAUAUACAAAAGAGACGGUACCUAACCAGAAAGCCACGGCUAACUACGUGCCAGCAGCCGCGGUAAUACGUAGGUGGCAAGCGUUGUCCGGAAUUAUUGGGCGUAAAGCGCGCGCAGGUGGUUUAGAAAGUCUGAUGUGAAAGCCCACGGCUCAACCGUGGAGGGUCAUUGGAAACUAAUAAACUUGAGUGUCGGAGAGAAAAGUGGAAUUCCUAGUGUAGCGGUGAAAUGCGUAGAGAUUAGGAGGAACACCGGUGGCGAAAGCGGCUUUUUGGCCUGCAACUGACACUGAGGCGCGAAAGCGUGGGGAGCAAACAGG